rnacentral:Y_RNA from 1 species
GUCUGGUCCAAAGGUAGUAAGUUAUCUUAAUUGAUUGUUCACAGUUAUAGACUGAACUCUCUGUUCUACUCUCUCCUCUCAUCUCACUACUGCACUUGACUGAUCUAAA